ACUCACUCUAGACUACAAGGAUGGGUGACUUUCGGAAAAAUUAUGUGACGUUACCGACAUUUAUAAGAUAAAAAAAGAUUUCAUUAGUUCCAUUGCACGUUACGUAUGUAUGUGCGCUUCGUUCCUUCAAAGAAAUAUUUUUGUUCAGCAUCAUAAAGAAUUCUUUUUAUUAACUUUACCUGUAGAGGCUUUCUGGAGAGUUCAUGGACCUCUAAUGGAAGUUACAAACCUGAUGGACCAUGAUGGAUCUCUAAUGGACAUCUAUUAGAGAUUUUUGUUUCGUGUGGGUUGUCUACCGAGACUUCAUGGAUUCUCUAUUAACGAUCCACCUAACGUCUAACAGACGUCUAUGGAAGAUAUCUUAUAGACUUGCACGAAGCGGAACUGUGGAUUUCUUGUCGAUGUCUACUGAAAGUCUAAUAGCCGUCUAAUGGAUAUCCAUGAUCGACGUCUACUGGAGGAUUUUGUUCUAUGUGGAUACGUUUUUGACAUAAGGAACUGAGAAGAAUGGUUUGCGAGGAGUGUAAUUUUCGGAACUGUCAAUGGUAUCCACAUCGGAAUCAACGUUUGAACUCUGCAAUUUUCUAUGUAAUAAAUGUUUAAUUCGAUUAUUUAUCGUUGUGAAAAUAAAUUGCAGAGGGUAAGAGUUGUUCAGAAGAAUAUUAAUGGAAUUUACCAGAUUCUUGAUAUGGAAUUCAGGAUGGGAAAGAAAAACUGUUCUAUCGACCAUUCCAAAAACAACACCUCUUUUGUGAGCUACCGGCUGGUGAGAAUGAAAAUUAAGCAAGGUAUCAAGGAAGUUGAUACGGUCAUUAUUCCCGAUCUCCAUAGUGAAUUGUAAUCUGUCAUGAUACAAAUUGAAAUUGUGUAAAAUAUCCUCAAGAAGGUUAGGAGGCGAGGCUAAUAGAAUGUCGUCAAUGUAUCUGACGUAGAACAGGAGAUCAAUAGGAAUUUUAGCAAUCGCAACCUCCUCAAGAUCUUGCAUUACAAUAUCCAUGAUCAUAGGUAAUAAAGGCGAGCCCAUGAGACUACCAAAGAUCUGUUUGUAAAACAUGAAUUGUUGAAUCUAAAAUAAAAGAGACAGCACGAAGAAA